AUUGUUUUUUCAGUCUUUAUUUCUGCUCUGAUCUUUAUGAUUUCUUUCUACUAACUUUGGGUUUUGUUUCUUCUUUUUCUAGUUCUUUUAGGUGGAAGGUUAAGUUGUUUAUAUGAGAUUUUUCUUGUUUCUUAAGAGUGAGCUGCAGUUGCCUCCUGGCUCUCCCGGAGACUCCAAGAUCAACAGGGCAGGAGCAAGGACAAAGUUUGAAUGACAAGAAAUUGGGCCGAAUUGAAAAAGUCAGUCUAGGUUUGGAAGACUGAUGCAGUAGAAAGCGCACUGAAUCUGGGAUUCUAGGACCUUGGUUCCAGGUAUAGUAGCUUUGCCACUUAUUAGAUGUGUUUUCUCCAUUUUAAAAUAGAAAAUAAUUCAUCUCCACAGUAUUGUUGCAAGGGUUAAAUAAGAUAAUACAAGUGAAACUCAUCACUUACGGUCUAGCACCUAACAAUGAAUGUUAGAAGGAUUUCAACCUCUGAUUGGUAGGAAGUAUGAGAAAGCCUAGGUGGGUGGGAAGGAGAGGGAAUCUGGCUUUUCACAUAAAUUUUCUACCUUUCUGCUUCCUUCAAACUCAUUUCCUUCCAGCCUAGCCUCUAAGGAAGUAAGAGAGAUGAAAUACUGGUGAUGCAGUUAAGUACUACCUGAGAGCUGGCCUUCCCUUCCCCCUUUUCUGUAAGCAUCUCGGCACCCUAUGGAGUUCAGCAAAAGAAAGAGCUGCGACCUGGAAACAGAGUGUGAAUUACACAGUGAACCACAAAUAUUUGAAACCUGGAAUCAUAAAUUCAUAUAUUUGGAAAAUAAAAUUAGUAGAGCUAUUUUAACCUAAGUAGUAAGUACACUUGGUGACAAAAUGAAGGUACAUGUCACUAGGGAAUACUGAAAGUUCCAUGGUGCUUGUAAGGUACCAGGCAUGACAGAUACAAAGGUAUAUUAUUCCAGUGGCACCCAUUUUCUCCCUAGUAAUCCCAUAUAUGUAUAUGCAUCAGUAUGUUUGUGUGAUUGGCUAAAGACAGCCCUGAUUACUGGCUGCAUGAGGGAGCAAUUAUUAGCAAUCAAAGCAAAUUAAAUUCCUAGCUGAUUCCAAGCCCCUGAGUAAAAUGCAACCCUUGAGGAUACUGCCUCAUUCCUUCAUUUACUUGGCAUUAGGUCAGUAGUCUCCUUGAUUAAGACAGAGAUUUGUACUUAUAAAAAAAAGAUUGAUAUUUUCAGGAGAUAUCUGCCAUUUUUUGCUUGUCUAGCAUCGCACCAUCUUUCUUCUAGGGGGAACCCAGUUCAGGUGGAUGGACAUACGACCCAGGCCUGGAUCGUUAGUCACCACCUUCCAGGGACUCACGUGACCAAUGCUGAACCAGACUCCACCCCAUGUUGCUUCUGCCAUACCUGUGAGCAAAGAUAUCUUUCGAAUUGGUUAACUUUCACUUGCAUUCAAGAGAUCCAAGCAAAAGAAAAUUAUGGCCACCACUAAUGAGUCUGAUUUAGUCAAUGUUUAACACCAUGCUUAUUAUUUCAAUGUGUAUAGCAGUUCCACGAGAGAUAUGUUUUCUUAUUAUUGCUAAAAC